rnacentral:rRNA from 1 species
CAGCAGAGGGGAAUUUUGGACAAUGGGCGCAAGCCUGAUCCAGCCAUGCCGCGUGAGUGAAGAAGGCCUUCGGGUUGUAAAGCUCUUUCGCAAGGGAAGAAAACUUACCUUCUAAUAAAGGGUGAGGCUGACGGUACCUUGAUAAGAAGCACCGGCUAACUACGUG